GCGGGGCUGCGCGGUGCGUCAGAACUUGUAUCCCCGGGCCCUUAUCGAUCCGAACGGGAGCUGUCCCUGACCGGGUCCCUGGACCCGGACAUAUGGCGCCCACCUACGUUGUAGGUGUCCCGGGAUCGAUGGUUCGACGGCCGAGGCGGCUCCGCU
rnacentral:other from 1 species